rnacentral:lncRNA from 1 species
GUGUGUAAUGAUUGUAACCCAAGUUAGGAAAUGAUAGAUUCUGGAAGAAAAACAUACCUAAGGUUGUAAGACUGUUUCCAGCUUUUUAUUUUUGUGGGCAUGGAGUUUGAAUGAAGAGUAGAGAUUUUUCAUGACAUUUAAAAUAGGAAAGGAUAAAGCAAAUUUAGCUUGUCUUAGCUCUUACGGGGUAAGAAAGUAAGGAGUUAAGUUGUGUCCUCAUAGCAGGCACUAACUGCUGGCUUAUUUUUGUUUUUUUACUCUCUCCCACCAGAACCAUUUGAUGUUUUACUUGAUAAUUAUAGCCUCUCUUAGAUUUCAGGAUUUGGAGAAUAGGAGAUUUAAGUCUGCUGGUUAACUGUUGUCUGCCAUCUAAUGUUUCAGGCAAUGUUAGUAUUAAAAGUAAAUUGUUUUUUCCUAUCAUUUUUUUCCUCAAAGCACAUAUUUAAUGUACUCGCUCCCCCAUAUUUUUACUUCUUGUGCUGUGUCAAAUAAAAUACUUAUUUUCUGAAAUAUUUU